UGAGUGGCGACGGGUGAGUAACGCGUGGGCAACCUGGCCUGUACAGGGGGAUAACACUUAGAAAUAGGUGCUAAUACCGCAUAACGGGGGAANCCGCAUGGCUUUUCCUGAAAACUCCGGUGGUACAGGAUGGGCCCGCGUCUGAUUAGCCAGUUGGCAGGGUAACGGCCUACCAAAGCGACGAUCAGUAGCCGGCCUGGAGAGGGCGGACGGCCACCACUGGGACUGAGACACGGCCCAGACUCCUACGGAAGGCAGCAG
rnacentral:rRNA from 1 species